rnacentral:lncRNA from 1 species
UGGCAAUCUCCAAAGAAUCAAAGGACAUUGGAGAGAUGAAGGGUGAAUGUAAGCAGACUAGAACAAGUUACUAAUGAGGUUUUGUGCCCAAUAAGGGGUACAAAAAAAUGUCACCUGGGUAAUGAUGAGAAAUGAAUGUUGGCCAAUCAUGUAUCCAGAAAAGAGGAUUACAAAUGGACAACUUGAGUUUUUCACUCAUAUGUACAUCUUAAAUGACCCAACAGAAGGCUCUGAGCAGAUUGGGUGGACUUCCUACGGAAGAAUUAUGGAAGUACAUGGACAAAAGCUAUAUGGGAUGAGAAGCACUGAUGGUUUGAGAUUCUCAUAAGUGCCGCCUCAAACCACCUUGGGACAGACAAGUCAUAUGAGAGAGCAAAGAGGACUAUACUCGUUGGACAGCUGUCUCUCUCCAGACUAGAAAUGAGUUUGAUACAGAUUAAUGAUAUGGUAAAUAAAAAUAAAUUAAAAUGGUUCUGGCA